AGUUGCAGUUUCAUUUGCUUUAAAGCACAGCCCUCGUAAUAAAUGCUCACAGCAAAUGUGCUGAGCAAACACCUCGGCAUUCAUCAAUAUGCGGGGGCUGUUUACUGCCUCAUAAACUUGGAAGCAAGUGAUAUUGUCUCCUAAAUCAAUGGCUGCGCGGACAGCCUUGGCACUCCAGGAGAACAGCAUGGCCAGGCCGCGCCUGUGCUGAAAUUAAUGGCUGGAGCAGUGACUGGAAGGUGCUUAGUCACCGCCGAGGGGAUUAGGAGCCAUUCCAGGGGACGAGCAGCCACCGCAGACUCUGAGUGAAGACACAUCCUGGGUCCACUUCUCAGGCUCAACAUCCUCAAUUUCUUGGACCUCCUUCAUAUUGUGUGAGGUGGCAGAGGCUGCUUGCUGAUCACCAGGCUCCUCUCCUCUUCUUCUGCACUUUCCAGCCUCUCUCGCAGAGCAUGUUUCAGGCUUACUUGUUCAACUGGUCACUCAGCCUCAACAGCCUCCAAGCUGUUUCAUCAUUUUAUCUGUGAGGAUUUCAAAGGAAACCAGGAGCCGAGUGCCCAGAAAGAAAAGAAGACUGGAAUCAGAGAGCGUUCUGCAAGUUCGCAAGUUCAAGGGCCCAGAGGCAGAGUAGCCCAGAAGCCUCAAGGACUUUCUACCAAAACUCACAGGAUUUCUCUAAACAUGCUGUGCGGGUCAUCCAGCAACGGAGAAUAUAGAAAACUUCCAGAGAUAGAGAAGCCCUUCUGCUUCCAGCCCCCUGAUAAGGUAUAAGAGAGACAGAUUUUUAAUCAUGUAUAUCCAAAUAGGAGAGAAAAAGAUUCUGAAACUCUAACCUUGAGACGACUCUAACCCUACAUAUGAUAUAUGACCGCAGCCACAUGUUUUCCAUCAUUUUAAAAUAGACUUUUAUGUAUUUUAGAAAUGUUUUCCAUAAGCAUGUAUUUCUUCAACAAUCACAAAACAUUAAAUUUAUAAUAAAAUGAA